AUGGUAGGAUAGAGGCCUACCAUGGUGGUAACGGGUAACGGGGUGUUAGGGCACGACACCGGAGAGGGAGCCUGAGAAACGGCUACCACAUCCAAGGAAGGCAGCAGGCGCGCAAAUUACCCAAUCCCGACACGGGGAGGUGGUGACAAUAAAUAACAAUACAGGGCUCUUUUGGGUCUUGUAAUUGGAAUGAGUACAAUUUAAAUCUCUUAACGAGGAACAAUUGGAGGGCAAGUCUGGUGCCAGCAGCCGCGGUAAUUCCAGCUCCAAUAGCGUAUAUUGAAGUUGUUGCAGUUAAAAAGCUCGUAGUUGAAUUUCGGGAUCAAUAUGUCGGUCGUGCCUUCGGUACGUACUGGUAUCAUUGGUUUCUUCCUUUCUGACGAACCAUGAUGUCAUUAAUUUGGUGUUAUGGGGAGUUAGGACUGUUACUUUGAAAAAAUUAGAGUGUUUAAAGCAGGCUUUAGCUUGAAUACAUUAGCAUGGAAUAAUGAAAUAGGACGUUCGAACCUAUUUUGUUGGUUUCUAGGAUCAACGUAAUGAUUAAUAGGGAUAGUUGGGGGCAUUAGUAUUCAAUUGUCAGAGGUGAAAUUCUUGGAUUCAUUGAAGACUAACUACUGCGAAAGCAUUUGCCAAGGAUGUUUUCAUUAAUCAAGAACGAAAGUUAGGGGAUCGAAGACGAUCAGAUACCGUCGUAGUCUUAACCAUAAACUAUGCCGACUAGGGAUCGGAUGAUGUUAAUUUUUUAAUGACUCAUUCGGCGCCUUACGGGAAACCAAAGUGUUUGGG
rnacentral:rRNA from 1 species